GGCGGGGUAGUACAGGGCGUGCUUCCGUGAACUGUAGUAGUAGAAAUUAUACAAACAAUGUUUACCGGAUGGCGCCCGUUCGACUCGGGCCCCCGUCA